CUGUGCAAAGGUAGCAUAAUCAUUAGUUUUUUAAUUGAAAGCUGGAAUGAACGGUUUGAUAAAAAAAAUUCUGUCUCAAUUUUAAUUUUGGAAUUUUAUUUUUAAGUUAAAAAGCUUAAAUUUUUUAAAAAGACGAGAAGACCCCAUAGAGUUUUACAAUUGUUUAUUUGAUUUUUGUUUUGAUUUAAUUUUGAGAUUGAAUUAAUGUUGUUUUAUUGGGGUGAUAUGAAAAUUUAAGUAACUUUUUAUUUAUUUUAACAUUAAUUUAUGAAUAUUUGAUCCUAAAUUUUGGAUUAUAAGAUAAAAUUACCUUGGGGAUAACAGCGUAAUUUUUUUUGAGAGUUCUAAUCGAAAAAAGAGUUUGCGACCUCGAUGUUGGAUUAAAGUAAAAUUUUGGUGUAGAAGUUAAAAUUUUAAGUCUGUUCGACUUUUUAAACU
rnacentral:rRNA from 1 species